rnacentral:rRNA from 1 species
CCUACGGGUGGCAGCAGUGGGGAAUAUUGGGCAAUGGGCGCAAGCCUGACCCAGCAACGCCGCGUGAAGGAAGAAGGCUUUCGGGUUGUUAACUUCUUUUGUCAGGGACGAAGACAGUGACGGUACCUGUCGAAUAAGCCACGGCUAACUACGUGCCAGCAGCCGCGGUAAUACGGAGGUGGCAAGCGUUAUCCGGAUUUACUGGGUGUAAAGGGCGUGUAGGCGGGACUGCAAGUCAGAUGUGAAAACCACGGGCUCAACCUGUGGCCUGCAUUUGAAACUGUAGUUCUUGAGUACUGGGGAGGCAGACGGAAUGUCUGGUGUAGCGGUGAAAUGCGUAGAGAUUAGGAGGAACACCAGUGGCGAAGGCAGUCUGCUGAACAGCAACUGACGCUGAGGCGCGAAAGCGUGGGGAGCAAACAGGAUUAGAUACCCUUGUAGUC